GAUGAACGCUGGCGGCGUGCCUAAUACAUGCAAGUCGAGCGAGCGGCGGACGGGUGAGUAAUGUCUGGGAAACUGCCCGAUGGAGGGGGAUAACUACUGGAAACGGUAGCUAAUACCGCAUACCAUCGGAUGUGCCCAGAUGGGAUUAGCUUGUAGGUGGGGUAAAGGCCUACCAAGGCGACGAUCCGUAACUGGUCUGAGAGGAUGAUCAGUCACACUGGAACUGAGACACGGUCCAGACUCCUACGGGAGGCAGCAGUGGGGAAUAUUGCACAAUGGGCGAAAGCCUGAUGCAGCCAUGCCGCGUGUAUGAAGAAGGCCUUCGGGUUGUAAAGUACUUUCAGCGGGGAGGCGUUACCCGCAGAAGAAGCACCGGCUAACUCCGUGCCAGCAGCCGCGGUAAUUC
rnacentral:rRNA from 1 species